CGCACAUCAGCUGACUCUUCCAAAGAUAACACCCACUUUCCUACGAGCUGUUGAAAGGGUGACUUGUAUCCCUGUACCCGCAUUGUAUUACGAAGUGAACUCUGACAUUCGAAGAUGGUCCAGAAGAUCGCGGUAGAGGGUUUUGACGCCUUCGUGGAGGCCGUGGAACCCUUUAAAGCCUCGGGAAAGCCGGUCUUCGUGCUAUUUUCAGGCUCGAAGACAUCGGGCGGCGUGAGUUGGUGCCCCGACUGUGUGACAGCCGAGCCCGUGGUCAAGGGCGCCGUGGAUAAAGCAGCACCUGAGGACGCCGUCUUCAUCUAUGUUGGCGUCGGAGGCAGGGACUUCUGGAAGGACCCCAACUGUGUCUUCCGGACAGAUGCUAGGACCAAGUUGAAGAGCGUGCCCACGUUGAUGAAGUACGGGACGGCGCAAAGACUCGAGGAGGAGCAGUGCGCCAAGGCCGACAUGGUUGAAAUGCUCUUUGAAGAUGCUUAGGGAACACAUGUAUAUGGAUGCCCAACAAAAGAAGACAUAUUGCUGAUUCUUGAAAACCAUAUUAAUGAUUAUAAGACCAAUGAUUUAUGAACAAACCAGCUUUGUGAUUAGUUUUAAUUUUUGAUCAAGACUAGAACAGGAAUAUCUUUAAUACUUGUUUCUCUUACUUAAAGAUUAUAUAGAUUUGAUUUUUCAGUUACACUUCUUAGAAUGUUAAUUGUACAUUCAUUUACCAAUUACUUUUGGAUUACAGUUACAAUUAAUGAUUACUUGUUUGAAAUGUGUACCAUUUUUUUAGUCACCUAUGAUACAUACUGACAAAUAUUUGUAUCAGGAGAGAUAAGCAUGGUAACACUUGGUUGCUUUCAUAUUUUGUUGUAGAUGUAAGAUAUCUUUUGCCAAUGGUUAAUGAAUUUUGUAUAGAGUUCAGAUGAGUUUCAUACUCAAAAAGAAUUUCAACAAUAACUCCAUGUAUAUCUUCCACUUUGGAUAAUAAUAUUGAUAGAA